GGCAGAAGCAGCAGAAUCUCACAGGGGCAGCUUGGUCCUCGUCCUCCUAUGUCCUAUCCCAAGAAUAGAUGGGAUCAAAGCAGUUGUGUUCUUUUUAGAUAUACAAAUGAGUGGUAAGGCUGCCAGGAAAGAAGUACCUUUUCUAGAACAGGAAUUUGUAAGGGCUGGAGGCGGUUUGAAACCAAGUGAUCCAGCAGAUGAGAGUGUUUCAGGAUCUCUUAAUGCCAAAUCCUUUCACUUCUUUUCUUUGGCUCUGUAAAUAACCUUUGCCAAGGCUUAAUUCUAGAGACAGUAGGAGGGGGAGAUACUGUUGCCUGGCAAAGAAUCUUCACCCUGGAAAUAUACUAGCUUGAACAGGAAACUACAGACAAAUGGACAGCAAUAAGACAACCUUCAUUUUGGGAAUCAUCUUGGAAAGUUAAAAGAAAUCAUAGAUUCUGCCAAGUUUAAGAAAAACUCAUAAAAAUCAUGACACAAGGAAGGAAGGAAUGUAAAAGACCACAGGUGGUAACCACCAACAUGGAGGUAAGUUCUGAAGAGGUAAGUCCUUUCUUGCCAAAGCAAAAGGCUAUUGGUUUCUUUUCUUCCCACUGGCCCUUUCAAACCAAUCACAGAAGGCAUCUAUCAUGAUCUGACGAUUUUGAUUAUUGUUUUGCCAACUGAAAGGUAAUUUUCUAGUGUACGAGGAACUUGUACUUGCAAGAGAAAAAGACAUACUUCUCCAAGGUAAGAAAAAAAUAGACCUUUGUCUUGCAUGGGAACAGACUUGUAUAGAGAACCAGAGCGGUUGGAUGGACAAUCUUUAUUUGCAGGAAAUGGCUUGGCUUGAAAAGCAUAAAGCAAUUAAUGGUUUCCUACAGGCUUAAGAAAGCAACAAAUGCAGAACAAAAAGGCUGGCGUGAGAUCAGGAACAUCAGAAUUGUUGCUUUGCUUCAGGCAUGUGAAACAUCAAUGUGAAAAUAGAUCAUCAAGAAACAAGACAUUUAUUGCUAAUAAAAGUGGUUUCAGGGACAGAGGGAGACCAGCGGCAGCCGGGUUCAGCCCACCACUGUGGCCCUCUAGCCCCGCCCCUGCAUCAGACGUAAAUGUCUGAUGUCAGACGCAGAGCGCAUAGUUCAGCUACGCCCUUUGUGUCUCAAAUGCAGGGGGCAUAGCUUAGCUCACAAAUGGGGCUGCAUGACCCCCAUUGGCGAGCGAAGUCCAGCCAGUGCCAUGUUCACAGCGCGGCCAGAGUGUCUCACCCUGCUUGCCUUUUAAAGGCAGGGAGAGUUGCUACUGGCCAUGCUGCGAAUGCAGUGCUGGUUUCUCUUGCAAUGGGGUUGCGUGGCCCCGUUGGCGAGUGAAAUAAUGCCCCUGCAUCUGACAUCAGACGCGGGGCAUGGCUGGGGAGCAAGGUGCAGCCGCUGAAGCACAGCAGCCUGGGUUCUCCAAACCCAUUCAUGCAAUGGUGGCUCCACCCAUGGGUGGUUGCUUAGUUCCAUUUCUAGCCCACUGGCUUUUUCAGACCAAUCACUGUAGGCUAAGUAUGCAGACUUUCAAGGUUAUUAGUUGAUUUUUAAUGAAUUUUUUUAAAAGUUUCAAAACUUGUUUAAAAGUGUCAUCACUGCUUUGAUUUAUGGCAGAAAGUUAAAAAAACAUUCUGGAAUUGAAAACCCCACUUUGUCCAUCAUUCAAGCCUCAUUUGUAGGAAACUGUUCCUUACCUUUAUAUACAAGGAGCAGUACCCCCAUUUUUGCAACCCCAGAAUGCCUGGGAAGAAAGUUCUUAAAAUUCAUAUCGGAGUAGCACAUGAUGGCAGCCAAUGUGUUGAUGAUCAAGUAGAUUAAUCCACUUCUUAAAUUUUUAAUGAAUUUUUUUAAAAAAUGUUUUCUUUUAAAAAUCAUUAAAAAUUGACAUGUGGAUUGAUCUCCUUGAACAUCCAUAUACAAUUACUCUUAGAACCAUAUGGGAACAUUAUGUGAAUUUCCAGGGCUUUCUGCCCAGCCAUUAUUUUGAAUUUUUCAUUAAUUCCUAUGGGGAAAUUGUUAUUUAAGUUGGAAAUUUGGACACAGCCCCCCCAGUGACUGCCCAUGUUCAUUGUACACAUUUGCUCAAUUGUAGACCUGCCCUGUAACAUUGCUCUAGAGAAACUCCUUGUUCUCCUGCACAGAAUGAUUCACAGUUGCUUCCCUAACUCCCUGGGAUACUUCAGCAUAUCCCAAGUUAGCAGACUCUGGCAACCAGUAGUCUAAGGCACACUGCUUUCUUGAACUAAAAGCUUUGCUGACUUGCCCUCCUUCCAGCAAAGGCCUUUGCCUCCUCCUGUCCUAAAGAACAUCAGCAACUUUGCUAUCCUCACUCUCACUCAAAAUAAAAUCAGCCAUGAUGGGCAAGGAUCCAAAGAAGAGGUGGUAGGCUGUACUGCUCCAAUCAGCUUGUACACAUCCUCAGGAAUCACAAACGGAAACUGAUCCAGUCUAAUCUUGUAAGUGGGAUUGCUGGGCAGCUCCCUAACUGGACCUGCAGAAAUAUUGGAGUCCAAAGAGAGAGGAGAGGAGAGCUGGUCUUGUGGUAGCAAGCAUGACUCGUCCCCAUAGCUAAGCAGGGUCUGUCCUGGUUGCAUCUGAAUGGGAGACUUGAUGUGUGAGCACUGCAAGAUAUUCCCUUCAGGGGAUGAAGCUGCUCUGGGAAGAGCAGAACGUUUCAAGUUCCAUCCCUGGCUUCUCCAAGAUAGGGCUGAGAGAGAUUCCUGCCUGCAACCUUGGAGAAGCCACUGCCGGUCUGUGAAGACAAUACUGAGCUAGAUAGACCAAUGUUCUGACUCAGUAUAUGGCAGUUUCCUAUGUUCCAAAUCAGCCUGAAUGCGAGAGAUUUUUGCAAAGAACUAAUUAAAUGUGUCACAGUGAGACAUUGUUUCUGGAAACAGAUUUGAAACAGAAGGGGCUUGAGUUAAACCCCUAACAAUCUGGAACAGCUCUGCUGGAUGAGAACUUGCAGAUGCAAUAUGCGCAGAAUAAAAUUGCUUCCUUGAUGCUGCCUGUAUUGCCACAGCAUAGGCCUUCAAAUGGGCUCUGUGCUCAUCUUAUUGAAUUCAAGAUGAGUCUUCCAUUUGCUCUCCAGUUGUCUACCUUGCCGCUUCAACUCCCGUAGCUCUUCCGUAUACCAUGGAACUAAUUUUGAAGUGGGUCGGAGAGGAUGCUUAGGAGUGAUUGUGUCUACUGCCCUGGUAAAUUCCCUGUUCCAAGUAUCCACCAGGGCAUUGACAGAAUCACCAGCAGAACCAACUCCAAAACCCUCCAAGGCCCUUUGGAAUCCUUCUGGAUCCAACAGCCUUCUCGGGUGGACCAUUCUAAUAGGUCCACUAUCCAUGCAGGGGUCAGAUGUGACUGUGAGAUCAACCUUAAACAGGAAGAGGUCUGUCCAUGAUAAUGGGGAAAACUACAGUAAACCCCAUCCACAAAACACCCUCCCCCCGGCAAUCUCAGCAAAAGAUCAAAUCCAGCGUGUGACCAGCAACAUGUGUAGGUAUUUGGAUAGGCUCAUUGUUGUCAUGGCUGCUAUGAACUCCUGAGCAGUACCCGACAAGCUAGUCUCAAAGUGGACGUUGAAAUCACCCAGCACUAAAAACCUGGGUGACUCCAACACCAAUUCAGUGACCAGUUCCAUCAGCUCAGUUAGGGACUCUGUUUGGCAGUAGGGUGUACAGUACACCAACAGAAUCCCAAAUUUAUCCCACAUCCCCAACCUAGGGUACACACACUCAGUACUGUAUGUCAGUUCUCUCACAGGGAUCCUGGUAAGGGAGAUGUUAUUCUUAUGGACCACAGCCACUCCACACACAGCCACUCCACACACACUUCCCCUAACCUGCUUAGCAACAGAGUACCCUGGGGAAAGAGGUUGGGCCCAAACAGGACCACUAGUCUCUCCCAACCAGGACUCAGUUAUCUAAGCCAGGUCAGCUCUUUCAUUCAUGAUCAAAUCAUGGAUGAUUUUGAUCUUAGUGUAGUGGUUAGAGUGUUGGACUAUGACUGGGAAGACCCGAGUUCGAAUUCCCCAUUCAAACAUGAAAAUCACUGAGUGACUGUCAGGUGUUUGAGGAUGCGGAAGUGGAGUGGGAGGCAGUGAAUUUACCUGAGGAUCCCGAGGGCUAGCUUUGUGACCAGAGUGAAGAGGCAGUAGAGGAGGGCUUGGUGCAGGAGGCAGAGCAGAGUGACAAAUCCCAGGAGGAAUUCUCGCUGCCAGUGCUAUCUCUCAGGCCAUGCAGGCACAAGAAGCGGUGACCAAAUCAGGGAGUUGAGAUGCAGCAGUCGCUUGCAGCAUGUACAAGACUAACUGAAGGCGGCUGACUGGGCAGAGCACUGAUUGAUUCCAGCUGGCAACCUGCUAUAAAUUCUGCGGCUUCACCCUGCCGUGCUGCUGGAGGCAACCUGUCAGACAGCCUUGAUACCUCCCUCCGUGAUGCCUUGGACCCUUAGACUUGGGAUCUCUGGAAUCUGGUGAACAGCCUUGGUUGUGGGGGAAUGCAAGUUGAACUUGUUGCUCGGUAGUGAUUUGUUCUCUUGUGCUUUUUACAGAUGCUAGAUGAAAACCUCAUGCCUGCCUGCACGAAGUAUUAUAACUGGAGACAUCUUUUCACUUGCUGCUGCGUCGUAAAUUACAGAUGGCUCAGCGAGUGUGGGGGGUUUACGACUGUGACUCUGGGCCAGUCAUGUAUCUCUCAGCCAAACCUGACUCACAGGGUUGUUGUGAGGAUAAAAAUAAGCAUGUACAUCACUCUGAGCUCCUCGGAGGAAAAGCAGGAUAUAAAUGUGAAAAUAAAUAAAUAAAUAAACCUGA